UCAGAAUGUUGUUGUUAUUUACAGGUUAUUAUGCUGUGAUGUUACUGGUCCGGCCCACUUGAGAUCAAAUUGUGCUGCAUGUGGCCCCUGAACUAACUGUAGCAUUGAUGGGCUACUUUAGCUAGGUGUUCAUACUCAAUCAGUAUGUACUUUAGGUCUUUAUGCAACCACAACAGCAAAAACAAAAGUUCCUGCAGAAAGGCCAGCUCAGCCAAAGAGGUCAAAGGUCGCCGAGACUCGUGCACGGAAACAACAUACAAAGUGCUCAACAGGCAGCAGCUCCGCGGUGAUUUCUGUGUCUGGUGGCAGCAGGUGAGGAGAUUCUGCUCGGUAACCCGUCGUCAUGGAAAAGACACCUGCGCUGCGAUUGGUGGAGAGCUGCAGCCGGAGGUGUGUGUGUGUCCUCCAGCGCUGACCAGGGGAACCUUUUAUACAAUUACUGCCAGUGGAGAGCCAUCAUUUCAUUCUCUCUCCCUCUGUUUGUGGGUAGAUGAGAAUAAAAGGGGGUGCUGCACCUGGAGAAUACAUAAUGGAUCAGAGAGCGGAGGAUAAAAAUAGCCGAGGACAAUGACGGAGGGAGACACAUGACUCUGUCCUCCUCCAGCAGAGAGGCCUGUGGUUUACAUUUGAACCUCAUGUUUCUGAGGAGCGGAUGGCGGUGGUGUUUUUUUCCCUCCCUUUGGAAG